GACGAAGGAUGCAAGCGUUAUCCGGAUUCAUUGGGUUUAAAGGGUGCGUAGGCGGACCAGUAAGUCAGUGGUGAAAUCUCUUUGCUUAACAAAGAAACUGCCAUUGAUACUGCUAGUUCUAGAUAUAGAUGCGUGGACGAAUAUGACAUGUAGUGGUGAAAUACUUAGAUAUGUCAUAGAACACCGAUUGCGAAGGCAGCUAACGAAACUAUAACUGACGCUGAGGCACGAAAGUGCGGGGAUCAAACAGG
rnacentral:rRNA from 1 species